UACGUAGGGUGCAAGCGUUGUCCGGAAUUAUUGGGCGUAAAGAGCUCGUAGGCGGUUUGUCGCGUCUGCUGUGAAAACCCGAGGCUCAACCUCGGGCCUGCAGUCGAUACGGGCAGGCUAGAGUUCGGCAGGGGAGACUGGAAUUCCUGGUGUAGCGGUGAAAUGCGCAGAUAUCAGGAGGAACACCGGUGGCGAAGGCGGGUCUCUGGGCCGAUACUGACACUGAGGAGCGAAAGCGUGGGGAGCGAACAGG
rnacentral:rRNA from 1 species